rnacentral:lncRNA from 1 species
UUCUUAACCUAUAACUUGUUCACCGGCUUAACUGGUUUGUGUAUUCUAUUUUAUUUUUUAUUGUUUUGUUUCCCUUCACACAAGUUCAUAGAAUGUUCUAAAACACCACCACCUUUCACCGCAAGUCUAAGAUCCAUUCUAAAUAAUUAUACUCCGUUUCUAUACUAUCAUCACCACCACCUCCACCACCAUUGACGGUGUCUUUGCCUUGUGCUAUCACCACCACCACCAACAACAAUGGUAAUCUUUUGCAAAAGGGGAAAUUGUGAUAAUCGAUCGCCAGAUGUGGUGGUCGGAGAUAAAUACAGAGGUUGGUUGAACCGUUGUUUGGGGUUGGAAUGCAGGACAAACAAAAUUGAAAAAUUGAGCCGACAAUUGAAAUUGAAAUUUGGGUGAAAAAUUGGAAAUAACAUCUGAAGGAAGAUGUAUCUGGGCUAGAGAUGUUGAUAGGAAUGGCUUUUGGAAGAAUAGUGGAAGUUGGUGAUGUUGGUUGGGUCAUGGGUGCUGGUUUCUCAUGGCGGUGCUUCCUGAAAUAGACAGUGUAUGAUUAAAAGAGUGCCGCUGCAGGGAAGCCUCCUUGUUGCUUUCGUGAAACUUGACGCUACCGCCAACAACUCCGUCAUCGAGUAGUCGAUUGAAUGUUAUCCACAGUUUAAAUUUCUAAUUAUUUGUAAGUGUAAAGGGUUUAAUAAUAAGUAAAAAAAUUAGUUGCAAGAUAUUGGUAGACAAAAAAGCAUGGAUGUUUGUUACUGUAGAUUUUGAUUGUUUGUUGUUUGAAAGAGCGAGAUUGAAGAACAGGUGAAGCCGGUUGCAAGUUUAAUGAUUAACAAGAAGGGGUGAUGUGGCAGCGUAUACAAGCGACUGUCCGUUGGCGUGUGUUUGAGCGUUUGAUAUUAGCAAUUCUCUUUAUUAAAUAUCUCUUAAGUAUAUUAAUGUGUUCUUUUUCUCAAGUUAUAAUAAAUUAAGUAUAUAUUAGCCUUUAUGGAGAUUUAAAAGCCAUAAUAAUAUUAUAAUAUUUA